AUUGAACGCUGGCGGCAGGCCUAACACAUGCAAGUCGAGCGGAGCGGGGGACGGGCGGGUAAGGCCUAGGUGUCUGCCUGGUCGUGGGGGAUAACGUCCGGAAACGGGCGCUAAUACAGCAUACUAUCAGCUGAGCCUAGGGCGGAUUAGCUAGUUGGUGGGGUAAAGGCCUACCAAGGCGACGUUCCGUAGCUGGUCUGAGAGGAUGAUCAGUCACACUGGAACUGAGACACGGUCCAGACUCCUACGGGAGGCAGCAGUGGGGAAUAUUGCACAAUGGGCGAAAGCCUGAUGCAGCCAUGCCGCGUGUGUGAAGAAGGUCUUCGGAUUGUAAAGCACUUUAAGUUGGGAGGCGUUACCAACAGAAUAAGCACCGGCUAACUUCGUGCCAGCAGCCGCGGUAAUAC
rnacentral:rRNA from 1 species